UAGUCAAUAAAUUAAUCUAGCCAGAAGUAGUCUAUGGUUUAUUCCUAUGAGAUUGCCAUGCAAUGAAGCAACCCACCACCAUGGCUCUCCAAUCUCCAUUUACCAGUCAACAAGAGAUCCUAUGUUUCCAACCGGUGAAGGCGAAGAAUAUGUCUGCAAAUUGCAGCUGGUGAAGGCAAAGGAAAAACUGUGCACAGCUCUGCCGCCAGGAAGGUUCAGAGUUCAGACUGCAGAGCCCCCUUAAUUAAUUGGAUUGGGUUUGACCUGGAUUUUGUCAUCACAGAAGCAAGUUGUUGAUUAACAACUAGAACAAUGCCAAUUGAUUAUUACUUUGUUAGUAUUCUUGGAGUUGGAGGCAUAAAGAUUAAAGGAUGCACGUGAGUUCCAUGCCAGAUACAUAAAGAGAUCAGGGAUUCAUGGUGUGGUUGGUUGCACUUGCACUAUUUCUGACUGAAGAUUCUACAUCUUUGGGGAAGUACAAAAGUUUCAGCUCAUGUUCAUGUUUAGGUGGUCUUGCCGGGGCCGUCUUUUCUAGGGCUUGGGCCUCAUUUGUUCCUCGACCCGGCCCGUUCAAAUCCUGACCCAAAGCCCUCAAACCCUGGAAGAUGAAAUGUGGGGUACUUUUUUUUUGCACUCAAGGUAUUUUAAGAACAAAGUGUGGACUGUGGAGUACUAUCAAUCGAAUCCUCUGAUUUUUUUUUAAAUACAACUUUGAUUUUGGAGUUUU